rnacentral:rRNA from 1 species
UACGAAGGGGGCUAGCGUUGCUCGGAAUUACUGGGCGUAAAGCGUACGUAGGCGGCUUUGUAAGUUAGAGGUGAAAGCCCGGGGCUCAACCCCGGAAUUGCCUUUAAGACUGCAUCGCUUGAACGUCGGAGAGGUGAGUGGAAUUCCGAGUGUAGAGGUGAAAUCGUAGAUAUCGGAAGAACACCAGUGGCGAAGGCGGCUCACUGGACGACUGUU